rnacentral:rRNA from 1 species
CCUACGGGGGGCAGCAGUGGGGGAUAUUGGACAAUGGGGGAAACCCUGAUCCAGCGACGCCGCGUGAGUGAAGAAGUAUUUCGGUAUGUAAAGCUCUAUCAGCAGGGAAGAAAGACAUGACGGUCCCUGAGUACGAAGCCCCUGCUAACUACGUGCCAGCAGCCGCGGUAAUACGUAGGGGGCAAGCGUUAUCCGGAAUUACUGGGUGUACAGGGAGCGUAGACGGUAAUGCAAGUCUGGAGUGAAAGGCGGGGGCCCAACCCCCGGACUGCUCUGGAAACUGUGUAACUGGAGUGCAGGAGAGGCAGGCGGAAUUCCUAGUGUAGCGGUGAAAUGCGUAGAUAUUAGGAGGAACACCAGUGGCGAAGGCGGCCUGCUGGACUGUAACUGACGUUGAGGCUCGAAAGCGUGGGGAGCAAACAGGAUUAGAUACCCUAGUAGUC